GACGAACGCUGGCGGCGUGCCUAACACAUGCAAGUCGAACGGUGAAGCGCCUUCCUUUUUGGUGGGUGUGGAUGAGUGGCGAACGGGUGAGUAACACGUGAGUAACCUGCCCCCUUCUUCUGGAUAACCGCAUGAAAGUGUGGCUAAUACGGGAUAUUCUGGGUCUGUCGCAUGAUGGGUCUGGGAAAGAUAUUGUUUCGGUGGGGGAUGGGCUCGCGGCCUAUCAGCUUGUUGGUGGGGUGAUGGCCUACCAAGGCGGUGACGGGUAGCCGGCCUGAGAGGGUGGACGGUCACACGGGGACUGAGACACGGACCAGACUCCGAAGGGAGGCAGCAGGGGGGAAUAUCGCACAAUGGGCGCAAGCCUGAUGAAGCGACGCCGCGUGAGGGAUGGAGGCCGUCGGGUUGUGAACCUCUUUCGCCAGUGAAGCAGGCCUGCCUCGUUUGUGGGUGGGUUGACGGUAGCUGGAUAAGAAGCGACGGCUAACUACGUG
rnacentral:rRNA from 1 species